AAGCCAUGGAAACCAUGGGAGCAGAGCAUUUUAAAAAAGAACGGUGAGGUGAACAGCGUCAAUGGACAAUGGAUGAGUGACGCAUUCAAAAUAAUCCACUGGUUUCUGACCAAUUAGCUAGCUGGUCAAAUUUUCACAGUACCAAAAUAGAAGCACUGAACUCAAUUUCAAAAUCAGUGUAUACUUUUACAUGAAGUACUACUUUUCUAUAUUCAACAACAAAUAGAACAUAACAAGUAGAAGACUCUUCAACUUUCAAAGUUGUAAACCAACAAAUCUGCCCCUGACCUAAAUUGGGUUAUCAUUUUCAUUCUGAAGCUGUUUUGCAUCUAACAUGGGAAGGCGUAUUCCAUCUUCAAGGCAUCUUUCUACUUUUUGCUGCAAGCUGUAGGUUUUAGAAAGACAAUUACAUAAAGAAAAUCCACUCUGUAUGCUGAUUCUGGUAGAUAACUUCAACAUGAAUGAAGUCUCCUCUUAGGGUCGGUAAUAUUUUUUAAUCAAGCAAAAAUCAAGACCUACAGCCUAUAUAUGAAUAUGCCUGAGUACCUAUAUUUCAUACAAGUAAGAAAUAUAAUGAAGCUGAUCAACUUUUCAGAAAUGGCAGAUUUGAGAUCAGAAUCAAUAAUUCUUAGUGUGUGACUAAUUCAUUAGGCCCUAAUGAAGUUCCUCAUGACCCUAAUCUGAGCUCUGCAAUCUAAAUCCUGUUUCUUUCCCUCUCUCCCAAAAGCAAAGUUCCUUGAUUACAAUUACUGUGUUAGGGGGCCUAAGAAUAUGGAAACAUGUCUUUUACCUUCAUUUUGAGCUCAGCAAAAGUCUGUUUAUAAGGAUAGCUGUAGAAUUACAUUUCUCCUUUAUUAGUAAGAGCAGCCAUCUAUUUACUAGUUGGCCUAAUAGUUUCACAUGCUAUUCAUGGCACAGAGUUGUGGGCAGAAGAAGAAACAACAAAAGGAAGCCCUUCUGGUACAUUAAGAAUAGUCAUGGUUUUCUUAAAAGGAACUACACCAUUAACAGUAACAACCAAAAUCAAAACAGAAAGACACCUAGGAAGAGUUCUACUCGAGCUUAUAAUCAUAUUCAAGAGCUGUAGAAUACUAAAAGAAACAGAUUUUUUUAUAGUUUGAGGUUUGUUAUUUCCAUUAUUUUUCUUCCAAGUAUUAUGGCUUUCCUGUGCUUUCUCUCUCUUCAAAAAAAUAAAAAUAAAAAAUAUAAAAAAAAAAAGAAGUCAAAGAAAAGCCAUAUCUAAAUUCUGGAUAA